GAUGAAGAACGUAGCGAAAUGCGAUAAGUAAUGUGAAUUGCAGAAUUCAGUGAAUCAUCGAAUCUUUGAACGCACCUUGCGCCUCUUGGUAUUCCGAGGGGCAUGCCUGUCCGAGCGUCAUUUGCAACCCUCAAGCCCGGCUUGUGUGAUGGGUGCCGUCCCCUACGGGACGCGCCCCGAAGGCAAUGGCGGCGUCGCGGUUAUCCGAUCAGCCAAAGUGUAUGGGGCUUUGUCACUCACUUUACGGCCCGGACCGGCGCCAGUCCGAAUCAAUCUUUUUUCUAAAGUUGACCUCGGAUCAGGUAGGGAUACCCGCUGAACUUAAGCAUAUCAAUAAGCGGAGGA
rnacentral:misc_RNA from 1 species